UACGGAGGGUGCAAGCGUUAUCCGGAUUCACUGGGUUUAAAGGGUGCGUAGGUGGGUUGAUAAGUCAGUGGUGAAAUCCCCGAGCUUAACUUGGGAACUGCCAUUGAUACUAUUGAUCUUGAAUACCGUGGAGGUCAGCGGAAUAUGUCAUGUAGCGGUGAAAUGCUUAGAUAUGACAUAGAACACCAAUUGCGAAGGCAGCUGGCUACGCGAAUAUUGACACUGAUGCACGAAAGCGUGGGGAUCAAGCAGG
rnacentral:rRNA from 1 species